rnacentral:misc_RNA from 1 species
GAUGAGAAAGUAGAAGGCAGAGGUUUGGCCCUUCCUUCUUGGAGUUUAUGACCUCAAGAGUUCUAAGAAGGAAAGGGAUAUUACAAAGACUCAAAAAAGAAAGGAAUAUGAAAAACUCCGUAAACAGUGCAGGCGGUUGAUAAAACGUAGGAAUGAAAGCUCUAAGUGGAAUGAAUUUAGGGACAUGAUUGAUGUUGGGGAAGAUGGCUUUCUUGUCCGAGACAUAGAUUCGCCUAGUUCCGAAGAUGUGGUUAGUGCUAGAGAGUCCCUUUCAAGCGAAGAAAGGUGCUCCAAUGUUGAAUUUUUAGAUGAAGCCUUCUGCUCUUUGUUGGAAGGGGAGGGGAGUUCAAGAC